rnacentral:misc_RNA from 1 species
UGCCGUCCACUGUUGCGCUUCAGCUCCCGGGAUACAGUCGAUGGCGAGCGAUCCAGAGUUGAUGCGAUUUGCCGGAUCGAGCGCCCCUCGGCGUGAAGUGCGGCAAUCGCACAGCGGUCUUCCAGCGAUAGCUGGGCAUAUCGUCGGUCCAUCGCAACACCCUAAUCUGGUGUUGCACUUCGUUUGAAAACUCAGGAAGAUCAGAAAAUGCGUGCAAUGGGCCGCCGUUGCGGCUCUUUUGGUGAGCGUCGGCAUGUUGAGCGACGUCCGGCCGGCGACAGCGCAACACGGCGGGGGUGGUGGGCACGGCGGCGGCUUCGGAGGUCACGGCGGAGGUCACGGCGGCUUCGGAGGCCAUGGCGGUUUCGGCGGUCAUGGCGGCCACCUCGGUCACGGGGUUUUGGCUUUGGCCCAUAUGGCUUGGGCUAUGGUGGCUACGACUACCCCUAUUAUGGUGGUUACUACUAUGGAGGUGGCGACUGUUAUCUCGUGCGGCGGCGCGUUGUGGGACCACAUGGACGGGUCUAUUUCCGGCGCAUCGAGGUGUGCCAUUGAGAUGAGGCGUUGCGCAGUUGCCAAAAUUCAUUCUCGGUGACGUUCACCGACCGGAUUGAAGUCCGCGGGAACCGUCAGCCCAAAUUGCCGCCUCCUGACCGGCCCAGCCCUCACCAAAA